rnacentral:rRNA from 1 species
UACGUAGGGUGCGAGCGUUGUCCGGAAUUAUUGGGCGUAAAGAGCUUGUAGGCGGUCUGUCGCGUCUGCUGUGAAAAUCCGGGGCUCAACCCCGGACUUGCAGUGGGUACGGGCAGACUAGAGUGUGGUAGGGGAGACUGGAAUUCCUGGUGUAGCGGUGAAAUGCGUAGAUAUCGGGAGGAACACCUGAGGCGAAGGCGGGCUACUGGGCCGAUACUGACGCUGAUGCGCGAAAGCCAGGGGAGCGAACGGG